UGAUGAAUGUGAUGAGAAGCCAAGGUGGUGGGGGGUGAAUUAGUGGGAAGCUAGUGGUGAGGAAUGUGAUGAGAAGCCAGGGUGGGUGAGUGGGUAAUUAUUUGUGGAUUAC